rnacentral:rRNA from 1 species
AUGGGGUUGCUGGCAAUCAAUCGGCUCGUGUCUAUGCAGCCGGAUUGGCGUCGCCGGCCAACUCAAGGCCGCAAUGGAUUGGUGACUUCAUCCGUAGCCAAAAGAAAGGGCUCACCCUGCAGUCUACAUGAUGACAAUUCUGGGAGUGUUAAAAAAUCGAGAUGUUCAGGACCAGGCCUUCCUGAGGAUAUAUGGCAUCAUAUAUAUUCACUGCUUCCUCUGCGAGAUGCUGCACGUGUUGCCUGCGUGUCUCAUACAUUUAAAAGUUACUGGAGACAUUUUCCCAAUCUCAGCUUAACUAGGGAAACACUGGGUUUGGAUGACGGGGUGGAUGGAUUGUCAUGUCCAUGUGAAAUAGCGAUGGAUCUUGCAAGGAAAACCGACCACAUUUUCAAAAACCACUCAGGCAUUGGCGUUAAGGCACUCAAGCUUGAAAUAUGUGGUUUCCCCUUUUUCAACAACUCUUGCGAUCUCGAUCGUUGGCUUCAUAUUGCUGUCAAACCAGGGAUUAAAGAACUUGACCUGAAGCUUUUAUCAACUUAUGUAGCUCUUUGUCCAAAAAUAUCUCAUGCAACUAUCUGUCCAAAGAUAUCUGAGGCGGCUUUUUGUCGGAAAAAAAUCCAUACAAAUGUGUACAACUUUCCAUGCUCACUUUUAGAUGGGAGUGGCAAGUCGAUCCAGCAGCUUCAUCUCAACAAUUGUGCGCUCCGCCCCACGACAGGACUUGGCCGCUUAAGAAGCCUGACUAGUCUUGAAUUUUUCCGUGUGCGUAUUACAGAAGAUGAGUUAAGGUGCCUUUUUUCCAGUUCAAUUGCUUUGGAGAAACUGGUACUCAGGUCCUGCAAUGAAUUAUCUUUCUUGGAGAUACCUAGCCUGUUGCAGCGGCUUAACCACCUGGUUGUCAUGGAUUGUGGAAAUCUGGAAGUGAUAAAGAGCAAAGCCCCUAAUCUAUACAUUUUUCAUUAUGGUGGUACCCUAAUACCGCUAUCACUUGGUGAUUCAUUGCAGAACCUAUGCAUUGGUGCUUUAUUAGGUCGCCAAGACGUUGUUCAUUAUCCUUGGGCCGAUCUUCUGCGCAUGGUGCCACAUCUUGAAGAUCUCGAAAUAUCUUCGUAUUGUGUGAGGGAUACACUGGUGGUGCCUGGCAAAUUCCUCCACCUCCAAUGCCUAUGUAUUGGGGCUUUUAACCCAGACUAUGAUUAUUUAUCUCUGGUUUCUUUUCUCGAUGCGUGUCCUUCCUUGGAGACUUUCAUAUUAUCCGUAGAUGCGGGUCGCGUGAGGCAAGAAUCGGUUUUAGGAGAAUCUUCGCAUGAUCUAAGGCAGAUGCCAGGACACGUGCAUAGGAACAUAAAGGAUGUGGUUAUCAUUGGCUUUUGUUCCGCAAAGAGCAUGGUUGAGCUAACAUGCCAUAUGCUUGAGAAUGCGAAGUCGCUAGAGUACCUUACACUGAACACCUCUUCGAACCCUGAAAUUUUGUGCUCUGAUAGUGAAAAUGGUAGAUGCCUCCCGAUGAGCAAGCAUAUGAGGAUGGAAGCCCGCAGAGCGCUCUUGGCUGUGGGAAGAUUCAUUUUGGGGAAAGUUCCCUGUAGUGUGGAGUUAGAAGUUGUGAAGCCUUGCAGCCGGUGCAAUAGUCUUGAAAUUUAG